rnacentral:misc_RNA from 1 species
GAUGAAGAACGCAGCGAAAUGCGAUAAGUAAUGUGAAUUGCAGAAUUCAGUGAAUCAUCGAAUCUUUGAACGCACCUUGCGCUCCUUGGUAUUCCGAGGAGCAUGCCUGUUUGAGUGUCAUUAAAUUCUCAACCUCACCCGUUUUCUGAACGGGUCGAGGCUUGGAUGUGGGGGUUUGUGCAGGCUGCCUCACUGGCGGUCUGCUCCCCUGAAAUGCAUUAGCGAGGUUCAUGCUGAACUUCCGUCUAUUGGUGUGAUAAUUAUCUACGCCGUGGACGAGGAUCAGACUCGCUUCUAACUGUCCGCGAGGACAAUACCUUGACAAUUUGACCUCAAAUCAGGUAGGACUACCCGCUGAACUUAAGCAUAUCAAUAAGCGGAGGA